UUGAUCUCAAAUCAGGUAGGACUACCCGCUGAACUUAUAUGCAUAUCAAUAAGCGGAGGAAAAGAAACUAACAAGGAUUCCCCUAGUAACUGCGAGUGAAGCGGGAAGAGCUCAAAUUUAAAAUCUGGCGUGCCUAUGGUCGUCCGAGUUGUAGUCUGGAGAAGUGUUUUCCGUGUUGGACCGUGUAUAAGUCUCUUGGAACAGGGCGUCAUAGAGGGUGAGAAUCCGUCUUUGACACCGACUACCAAUGCUUUGUGAUGCGCCCUCAAAGAGUCGAGUUGUUGGGAAAUGCACCCAAAAUGGGUGUUAAAUACCAUCUAAAGCUAAUAUAUGCCGAAGAACCCUUGCGACCAAGUCCCGGGAGGGGAGGAGAAAACGCCCUUGGAAAGAAGGUAACCCGUACCGUGAAUGGCGAAAAGGGAACGCUGAAAAAU
rnacentral:rRNA from 1 species